rnacentral:rRNA from 1 species
AGAGUUUGAUCAUGGCUCAGAUUGAACGCUGGCGGCAGGCUUAACACAUGCAAGUCGAACGAUGACUAACUAGCUUGCUAGUUAUGAUUAGUGGCGGACGGGUGAGUAACAUUUAGGAAUCUGCCUAGUAGUGGGGGAUAGCUCGGGGAAACUCGAAUUAAUACCGCAUACGACCUACGGGUGAAAGGGGGCGCAAGCUCUUGCUAUUAGAUGAGCCUAAAUCAGAUUAGCUAGUUGGUGGGGUAAAGGCCCACCAAGGCGACGAUCUGUAACUGGUCUGAGAGGAUGAUCAGUCACACCGGAACUGAGACACGGUCCGGACUCCUACGGGAGGCAGCAGUGGGGAAUAUUGGACAAUGGGGGCAACCCUGAUCCAGCCAUGCCGCGUGUGUGAAGAAGGCCUUUUGGUUGUAAAGCACUUUAAGCAGGGAGGAGAGGCUAAUGGUUAAUACCCAUUAGAUUAGGCGUUACCUGCAGAAUAAGCACCGGCUAACUCUGUGCCAGCAGCCGCGGUAAUACAGAGGGUGCGAGCGUUAAUCGGAAUUACUGGGCGUAAAGCGAGUGUAGGUGGCUCAUUAAGUCACAUGUGAAAUCCCCGGGCUUAACCUGGGAACUGCAUGUGAUACUGGUGGUGCUAGAAUAUGUGAGAGGGAAGUAGAAUUCCAGGUGUAGCGGUGAAAUGCGUAGAGAUCUGGAGGAAUACCGAUGGCGAAGGCAGCUUCCUGGCAUAAUAUUGACACUGAGAUUCGAAAGCGUGGGUAGCAAACAGGAUUAGAUACCCCGGUA